rnacentral:rRNA from 1 species
GAUGAACGCUGGCGGCGUGCCUAAUACAUGCAAGUCGAGCGAACAGAUGAGGAGCUUGCUCCUCUGACGUUAGCGGCGGACGGGUGAGUAACACGUGUAUAACCUACCUAUAAGACUGGGAUAACUUCGGGAAACCGGAGCUAAUACCGGAUAAUAUAUUGAACCGCAUGGUUCAAUAGUGAAAGACGGUUUUGCUGUCACUUAUAGAUGGAUCCGCGCCGCAUUAGCUAGUUGGUAAGGUAACGGCUUACCAAGGCAACGAUGCGUAGCCGACCUGAGAGAGUGAUCGGCCACACUGGAACUGAGACACGGUACAGACGCCUACGGGAGGCAGCAGUAGGGAAUCUUCCGCAAUGGGCGAAAGCCUGACGGAGCAGCGCCGCGUGAGUGAUGAAGGUCUUCGGAUCGUAAAACUCUGUUAUUAGGGAAGAACAAAUGUGUAAGUAACUAUGCACGUCUUGACGGUACCUAAUCAGAAAGCCACGGCUAACUACGUG